rnacentral:tRNA from 1 species
AAGGGUAUAGCUCAGUGGUAGAGUGCAUGCUUAGCAUGCACUAGGUCUUGGGUUCAAGCCCCAGUACUUCUA